rnacentral:rRNA from 1 species
GGACGAACGCUGGCGGCGUGCCUAACACAUGCAAGUCGAGCGAGGAGAUCCUUCGGGAUGAUCCUAGCGGCGGACGGGUGAGUAACACGUGGGCAACCUGCCUCAUAGAGAGGAAUAGCCUUCCGAAAGGGAGAUUAAUACCUCAUAACAUUGCAGUUUCGCAUGGAACAGCAAUUAAAGGAGUAAUCCGCUAUGAGAUGGGCCCGCGGCGCAUUAGCUAGUUGGUGAGGUAACGGCUCACCAAGGCGACGAUGCGUAGCCGACCUGAGAGGGUGAUCGGCCACAUUGGGACUGAGACACGGCCCAGACUCCUACGGGAGGCAGCAGUGGGGAAUAUUGCACAAUGGGGGAAACCCUGAUGCCAGCAACGCCGCGUGAGUGAUGACGGCCUUCGGGUUGUAAAGCUCUGUCUUCAGGGACGAUAAUGACGGUACCUGAGGAGGAAGCCACGGCUAACUACGUGCCAGCCGCCGC